AUCUGGCAAAAGGUUCGGGACAACAGUUGGAAACGACUGCUAAUACCGGAUGUGCCUAAUGGUGAAAGAUUAAUUGCCUUUUGAUGAGCUCGCGUCUGAUUAGCUAGUUGGUGUGGUAAGAGCGCACCAAGGCGACGAUCAGUAGCUGGUCUGAGAGGAUGACCAGCCACACUGGGACUGAGACACGGCCCAGGCUCCUACGGGAGGCAGCAAUGGGGAAUUUUCCGCAAUGGGCGAAAGCCUGACGGAGCAAUACCGCGUGAGGGAGGAAGGCUCUUGGGUUGUAAACCUCUUUUCUCAGGGAAUAAUCAAGUGAAGGUACCUGAGGAAUCAGCAUCGGCUAACUCCGUGCCAGCAGCCGCGGUAAUACGGAGGAUGCAAGCGUUAUCCGGAAUGAUUGGGCGUAAAGCGUCCGCAGGUGGUUUUUCAAGUCUGCUGUCAAAGAGUUUGGCUCAAUCAGAUAAAGGCAGUGGAAACUGAGAGACUAGAGUGUGGUAGGGGCAGAGGGAAUUCCUGGUGUAGCGGUGAAAUGCGUAGAGAUCAGGAAGAACACCGGUGGCGAAAGCGCUCUGCUGGACCGCAACUGACACUGAGGGACG
rnacentral:rRNA from 1 species